GUUAGCCGACACUUAUUCCUUGGCUACCGUCCUUCCUCGUCACCAAGAAAAGGGCUUUACGAUCCGAAAACCUUCAUCGCCCACGCGGCGUCGCUGCUUCAGGCUUGCGCCCAUUGAGCAAUAUUCCUCA
rnacentral:rRNA from 1 species